ACCUCCCAACCCCUGUGACAUACCACUUGUUGCCUCGGCGGAUCAGCCCGCUCCCGGUAAAACGGGACGGCCCGCCAGAGGACCCCUAAACUCUGUUUCUAUAUGUAACUUCUGAGUAAAACCAUAAAUAAAUCAAAACUUUCAACAACGGAUCUCUUGGUUCUGGCAUCGAUGAAGAACGCAGCAAAAUGCGAUAAGUAAUGUGAAUUGCAGAAUUCAGUGAAUCAUCGAAUCUUUGAACGCACAUUGCGCCCGCCAGUAUUCUGGCGGGCAUGCCUGUUCGAGCGUCAUUUCAACCCUCAAGCACAGCUUGGUGUUGGGACUCGCGUUAAUUCGCGUUCCCCAAAUUGAUUGGCGGUCACGUCGAGCUUCCAUAGCGUAGUAGUAAAACCCUCGUUACUGGUAAUCGUCGCGGCCACGCCGUUAAACCCCAACUUCUGAAUGUUGACCUCGGAUCAGGUAGGAAUACCCGCUGAACUUAAGCAUAUCAAUAAGCGGGGGAA
rnacentral:rRNA from 1 species